CGUCACACAUCCGGUAGCUGUACGCCUCUCCAGAUGGAAGAAAUCACAGUACACAAGUCAGGCUGUCAUCUCUGCAGACACAUACCCCGUCCUUUCAUGCCCUGAGGCACGAAGCCCUGGAAGCAGGUGAUGGCCUCGAUGUCUUCAUCGUCCAGGUCGUCCUCGUCACUGUAGAGAACAUUCUUGGCCACACGAGAGCCACUCUUCUUGCUGGUAUUGGCGGUGUUGGUGAAGGGGCGGAUGUUCAUCAGAAAAGAAGCCCUCUUACUUUAAUGAAGUCAUCAGCAUUGAAGAUAGUUCCCUGGAUCAUGUCUGCCGCCAGGUCGCCCAUCAGGGUGUAGAACUCGUCUGCACUAGCCACGGACUUGAUUCUCCUGCAGGAAAUCACACAAGUUGUCAACCAUAAUGUUCAACUUUACUCCAUACUUAAAACCAUGGACAAGUUUCUUUCCAAUUCACUUUUUGUUAGGUUUGUUGUUGUUUUUAGUAAGCUGAGAAGUCAAAAAUUGUUAUGGUAAUCUGUGGUAAGGGACAGGAAGUGCCUUGUUCAAGGGCAUGGUUGGAAAAGUUAAUGGUAUAGCUACCAUCAACCAUGACUUCUGUUCUGGGAAUUCCAAGAUACCCAAUUUGAAAUAAUCAAACUUGUCAAAAUGCAUCCCAGAGACCAGAUUAUUUCCGAAAUAAAAGUCUUGGAGAAGAAAAA